GACGAACGCUGGCGGUGUGCUUAACACAUGCAAGUCGAACGGUAAGGCCCUUUCGGGGGUACACGAGUGGCGAACGGGUGAGUAACACGUGAGUAACCUGCCCUCAUCUCUGGGAUAACAGUCGGAAACGGUUGCUAAUACUGGAUAUGAGCUUGCAAGGCAUCUUGUGGGUUGGAAAGAUUUUUUUUGGUUGGGGAUGGACUCGCGGCCUAUCAGCUUGUUGGUGAGGUAGUGGCUCACCAAGGCUUCGACGGGUAGCCGGCCUGAGAGGGCGACCGGCCAGAGUGGAACUGAGAGACGGCCCAAAGUCCGACGGGAGGCAGCAGUGGGGAAUAUUGGACAAUGGACGGAAGUCUGAGGCAGCAACGCCGCGUGCGGGAUAACGGCCUUCGGGUUGUAAACCGCUUUCAAGUGUGACGAAGCUUUUUUGUGACGGUAGCAGUAGAAGAAGCACCGGCUAACUACGUG
rnacentral:rRNA from 1 species